rnacentral:misc_RNA from 1 species
GAUAUCUUGUUGCCUCUGAUGCAGUUUCUUUUACGCGCAUCAAAUCUGGCUUGAGAUGGGGUUUCUUUUGCGCUGCAGAAACUGCAUCAGAGGCAACAAGAUAUCGAGUCUGUGGAACCCCCUGGAAGCCUCGACAACGAAUCUUGCCCAUGUUUUGUCGGAUCGGGUCUCAAGUACACCCUUCAGGAUGGUCAAUUCCAAGCCACGGAUCACUUGGGCGAUCUCUAAGAAGAGACAUUGCUCAUCACAAAGCAUCAAAAUGAGCAUAUGUCCUGGAUAAGCAAGAUCUUCCACUAGAAUAGGGCACAUUUGGAACUCAAGUCCAAAUUCAUAAGCACAGCUUGUUCCAUUUUGGCAAUUCUCCUUGGCUUCGUAAUACCUCCAAUUCUUGAUACCAGGAUGCUGUGAAACAUUUAAGUUUCAA